GAGGGGGUGGUCGAGUGGUUUAAAACAACGGUUUGCUAAAUCGUCGCACGAAAAAGAAUUUUGUGUCAUGGGUUCGAAUCCCAUCCUUCUCA
rnacentral:tRNA from 1 species